AGUUCAAUGGUAGAACGAGAGCUUCCCAAGCUCUAUACGAGGGUUCGAUUCCCUUC
rnacentral:tRNA from 1 species